rnacentral:rRNA from 1 species
AGACCCGAAACCCGGUGAUCUAGCCAUGGGCAGGUUGAAGGUUGGGUAACACUAACUGGAGGACCGAACCGACUAAUGUUGAAAAAUUAGCGGAUGACCUGUGGCUGGGGGUGAAAGGCCAAUCAAACCGGGAGAUAGCUGGUUCUCCCCGAAAGCUAUUUAGGUAGCGCCUCGUGAAUUCAUCUCCGGGGGUAGAGCACUGUUUCGGCUAGGGGGCCAUCCCGGCUUACCAACCCGAUGCAAACUGCGAAUACCGGAGAAUGUUAUCACGGGAGACACACGGCGGGUGCUAACGUCCGUCGUGAAGAGGGAAACAACCCAGACCGCCAGCUAAGGUCCCAAAGUCAUGGUUAAGUGGGAAACGAUGUGGGAAGGCCCAGACAGCCAGGAUGUUGGCUUAGAAGCAGCCAUCAUUUAAAGAAAGCGUAAUAGCUCACUGGUCGAGUCGGCCUGCGCGGAAGAUGUAACGGGGCUAAACCAUGCACCGAAGCUGCGGCAGCGACACUGUGUGUUGUUGGGUAGGGGAGCGUUCUGUAAGCCUGUGAAGGUGUGUCGUGAGGCAUGCUGGAGGUAUCAGAAGUGCGAAUGCUGACAUAAGUAACGAUAAAGCGGGUGAAAAGCCCGCUCGCCGGAAGACCAAGGGUUCCUGUCCAACGUUAAUCGGGGCAGGGUGAGUCGACCCCUAAGGCGAGGCCGAAAGGCGUAGUCGAUGGGAAACGGGUUAAUAUUCCCGUACUUGGUGUUACUGCGAAGGGGGGACGGAGAAGGCUAUGUUGGCCGGGCGACGGUUGUCCCGGUUUAAGCGUGUAGGUGUGUGUUCCAGGUAAAUCCGGUUCACUUUAACACUGAGGCGUGACGACGAGGCACUACGGUGCUGAAGCAACAAAUGCCCUGCUUCCAGGAAAAGCCUCUAAGCAUCAGGUAACAUCAAAUCGUACCCCAAACCGACACAGGUGGUCAGGUAGAGAAUACCAAGGCGCUUGAGAGAACUCGGGUGAAGGAACUAGGCAAAAUGGUGCCGUAACUUCGGGAGAAGGCACGCUGACACGUAGGUGAAGUGAUUUACUCAUGGAGCUGAAGUCAGUCGAAGAUACCAGCUGGCUGCAACUGUUUAUUAAAAACACAGCACUGUGCAAACACGAAAGUGGACGUAUACGGUGUGACGCCUGCCCGGUGCCGGAAGGUUAAUUGAUGGGGUCAGCGCAAGCGAAGCUCCUGAUCGAAGCCCCGGUAAACGGCGGCCGUAACUAUAACGGUCCUAAGGUAGCGAAAUUCCUUGUCGGGUAAGUUCCGACCUGCACGAAUGGCGUAAUGAUGGCCAGGCUGUCUCCACCCGAGACUCAGUGAAAUUGAACUCGCUGUGAAGAUGCAGUGUACCCGCGGCAAGACGGAAAGACCCCGUGAACCUUUACUAUAGCUUGACACUGAACAUUGAGCCUUGAUGUGUAGGAUAGGUGGGAGGCUUUGAAGUGUGGACGCCAGUCUGCAUGGAGCCGACCUUGAAAUACCACCCUUUAAUGUUUGAUGUUCUAACGUGGACCCGUUACCCGGGUUGCGGACAGUGUCUGGUGGGUAGUUUGACUGGGGCGGUCUCCUCCUAAAGAGUAACGGAGGAGCACGAAGGUUGGCUAAUCCUGGUCGGACAUCAGGAGGUUAGUG